AACCUUAUGGACCUGCGGGCGUAUACCUGCGGAAGGAUCAUUAACAAAAAAUUUUUUGAGCCAUUUUUAUGGCUUCAAAAAAAAAAUCCACACACUCACCCUUUGUGCAAUCACUGAGAAAAAGUUAAUCUUUGGGAGAUGAGUUUCUUUUUUUGAUCUCAUCUCCCAAAGGUGUUUGUAUAAAACUUUUUUCUAUUACUUAUUGUCUUAAGAUAUAACAAAUUAAUAAAUAAUAAAAAA
rnacentral:misc_RNA from 1 species